GUCGCUGCAAAUUCAGCGACACGGGUUUGAACGCCCGGAAAUGAAUAGGCGCACAGCGCCGCGAAAGCGGUAUUUUU
rnacentral:sRNA from 1 species